rnacentral:rRNA from 1 species
AGAGUUUGAUCCUGGCUCAGGAUGAAUGCUGGCGGCGUGUCUAAGGCAUGCAAGUCGAACGGUUGCAACCAGAUAGCAAUAUUUGGAGGCAAUAGUGGCAAACGGGAGCGUAACACAUUGGUAACCUACCUCGAACUCGUGGAUAACGAUUGGAAACGAUCGCUAAUACACGAUAUUGAUGGGGGGACGUAAGUCAUUCCCAUUGAAAGUUUUUCGGUUCGAGAGGGGCCUAUGGUCCAUCAGCUAGUUGGCGGGGUAACGGCCCACCAAGGCAAUGACGGAUACCAGGCGCGAGAGCGUGACCUGGCUCAUUGGAACUGAGACACUGUCCAAACACCUACGGGUGGCUGCAGUCGAGAAUAUUCCACAAUGCACGAAAGUGUGAUGGAGCGACGCCGCGUGUUGAACGAAGGCCUUCGGGUCGUAAACAACUUUUCUCAGGGACGAAUUUUGACGGUACCUGAGGAAUAAGGGGUUGCUAACUCUGUGCCAGCAGCAGCGGUAAUACAGAGACCCCAAGCAUUAUCCGGAUUUAUUGGGCGUAAAGCGUACGUAGGCGGUUUCGUAAGUCAUUUGUUAAAUCUUCAGGCUUAACCUGGAGGCUGCGGGUGAUACUGCGAGGCUAGAGUAUGGGAGAGGUUAGCGGAAUGCCUAGUGUAGCGGUAAAAUGCGUUAAUAUUAGGUAGAACACCAAAUGCGAAAGCAGCUAACUGGAACAUUACUGACGCUCAGUGUACGAAAGCGUGGGUAGCGAAAGGGAUUAGAUACCCCUGUAGUCCACGCCGUAAACGAUGACAACUAGUUUUUGGGAGUAUCGACCCUCCCAGAGACGACAAACCAAGCUAACGCGUUAAGUUGUCCGCCUGGGAAGUACGGUCGCAAGACUAAAACUCAAAGGAAUAGACGGGGACCCGCACAAGCGGUGGAUCAUGCGGUUUAAUUCGAUGCAACGCGAGAAACCUCACCUGGGCUUGAAAUGUAGCUGCAAAUCUCCAGAAACGGAGACUCCUUCGAGGGUGCUAUGUAGGUGCUGCAUGGUUGUCGUCAGCUCGUGCCGUGAGGUGUACCCUUAAGUGGAGUAACGAGCGCAACCCCUGUCAUGCGUUAUACUUUCGCAUGAGACUGCUUCCGUAAGGGAGAGGAAGGAAGGGAUGACGUCAAAUCAGCAUGGCCCUUACGUCCAGGGCUACACGCAUGAUACAAUGGCCGGUACAGAGGGAUGCCAAAUCGCAAGAUGGAGCGAAUCCCAGAAAACCGGUCCCAGUUCGGAUUGGGGUCUGAAACCCGACCCCAUGAAGCCGGAAUCGCUAGUAAAGGCGGAUCAUCACGCCGCCUUGAAUACGUUCUCGGGUCUUGUACUCACCGCCCGUCACGUCAAGAGAGCUGGUAACACCCGAGCGUCGGCGCUUGCCGGCGGAAGGUGGGACUAGCAAUAGGGACGAAGUCGUAACAAGGCA